CAUCGCCGCGGGAAUACGAGGGGGGCAAGCGUUGUUCGGAAUUAUUGGGCGUAAAGGGUGCGUAGGCGGCUCAGCAAGUCUCGUGUGAAAUCUUCGGGCUCAACCCGAAGUCUGCACGGGAAACUACUGGGCUUGAGUAAUGGAGAGGUGAGUGGAAUUUCCGGUGUAGCGGUGAAAUGCGUAGAUAUCGGAAGGAACACCUGUGGCGAAAGCGGCUCACUGGACAUUUACUGACGCUGAUGCACGAAAGCUAGGGGAGCAAACAGGAUUAGAUACCCCCGUAGUCCCUGUCUCUUAUACA
rnacentral:rRNA from 1 species